CCUAAGAGGUCCAAGAUCGGCACAAAGAUCAACACACCAUGGUACUGAUGCGGGGCUGGAGAGGGAGCUCAGAAGUCAAGCUGCUCUUACAGAGGGCCUGGGUUGGGUUCCCAGCAUCCACUGGGCAGCCUACACCUCCAGCUCCAGGGAUCUGAUGCCUUUUCUGGCUUCAGCAGACACCUGCAUGCACAUGGUACAUGUUCCUACACUCAGGCGCAUACACAGGCACAUAAUAUAAAUAAGUUAAUCUCUGAAGGUAUGGGUUCAUGGAGCUCUUUCCUGAGUUCUGAGCACAUAUAUGCAUAGGUGAUAAGUGAAGAAAAAAAAGCCUUUCUUGUUGGCAAUUGUGAAUGAAUGUUAGUAAUAUUUUUGGCAGUACUGGGGGUUAAACUCAAGGCCUUGCACAUGCUAGACAAGUGCUCUCCCCUGAGCCACCCCUUUACCCCUUACUCUACUUUUUAUGUGGGGUCAGGGUCUCUCUAAUUUGCCCAUAGUAAAGCCUCAUUCUGUGUAGCUCAGGAAAGUAUUCAACUUAUCAUUCUCUGGACUCUGCCUCUUGAGUCAUUAGGAUAGUAGCCUGUGAUACACAGCUCAGCAAGCUCUAGCAAUUUGCACAGUUUGGCAGACACACAUUGUAGUGAUGCAAUCUCAGAGGUGCCUAAUUAGAAGCCAAAAUCUGGAGUCUGCCUGAAGACGGUGUCCAUGGGCAAGAAGUCAGCAUUAUAGAUAGAUGGUGGGUCUGUAGCAUCCAAAGAAAACAUUCCCGUGAGGAGACCCGAACAAGCACAGCAAAGCACCAUCAAUCCAAAGUUCGAGAAAGUCAAGGAAGGAGCAUGCACCAGAGUCCACACCUGGGCUGAUGCAAAGCAGAAGGGAAUUUUUGGGGAAAACUGUUCUAAAUAGGGUAAGCAUCCUAAUGGAAGUAUGGAUACGGCUCAGCGACAGAGUGCUUGCUGGGCAUGCUAGAGGCCAGAGUUCCAGAUCCAGCACCCAAAGGCCUUGGGGCUGUAACAACUAGCCAUGGAAACAGACACCUCACCCUGCUGCAGCUUCUGCUCCCAUCAGCUGAGGAUACGCCUUUGAGCUGCUUUCUCCCUAGCUGAGACACUAGUGAGGAUGAAGGAGGUGAUGGAAUCCCUCAGAGCUCUGGUUCCUGUCGCAGAAUCCAGGCAUUCAAUGAACACAUGCUAGCCUUCACUGGAAUACCAGCUCACCUACCACUCUGCCAGCUGACGUCCUGGAGACAGGCUGGCCUGGCCUGAUAGCGUGUGUGUUGUCUCCCCGUCCAUGAGCACUGUCUCCCCUUGCUAGGAUCUCUCCCUAAAUAUCUACUGAUGAUGUCACAGUCUUGAAGCCAGAUCCUCAUCCACAUUUAGUCCAGCUUUCCCCAACCCCAGAAAAAUCAUCUCUCUCCAAAACUGGUUCUGCCAGCUGAGAUUUUUCUAUCCUUAAAUGGUCUAGCCCAGGACGUCCAAAAACCUGUCCCCAAGUUAACUGUGAUCUGCUGCGCUGCAGCUCAGCCUAGGAAAGACCUGGAAGUUCGGCAGAUUGGCCACGGUGAUUGACAGGAGAUGCUGGACCUGCUGUCCCAUCUGGCACAGCCCUGAAUG